rnacentral:rRNA from 1 species
AUUGAACGCUGGCGGCAUGCCUUACACAUGCAAGUCGAACGGUAACAGGUCUUCGGAUGCUGACGAGUGGCGAACGGGUGAGUAAUACAUCGGAACGUGCCCGAUCGUGGGGGAUAACGAGGCGAAAGCUUUGCUAAUACCGCAUACGAUCUACGGAUGAAAGCGGGGGAUCUUCGGACCUCGCGCGGACGGAGCGGCCGAUGGCAGAUUAGGUAGUUGGUGGGAUAAAAGCUUACCAAGCCGACGAUCUGUAGCUGGUCUGAGAGGAUGAUCAGCCACACUGGGACUGAGACACGGCCCAGACUCCUACGGGAGGCAGCAGUGGGGAAUUUUGGACAAUGGGCGAAAGCCUGCUCCAGCCAUGCCGCGUGCAGGAUGAAGGCCUUUGGGUUGUAAACUGCUUUUGUACGGAACGAAAAGCCUCUUUCUAAUAAAGAGGGGUCAUGACGGUACCGUAAGAAUAAGCACCGGCUAACUACGUG